rnacentral:rRNA from 1 species
GACGAACGCUGGCGGCGUGCUUAACACAUGCAAGUCGAACGGAAAGGCCCUGCUUUUGUGGGGUGCUCGAGUGGCGAACGGGUGAGUAACACGUGAGUAACCUGCCCUUGACUUUGGGAUAACUUCAGGAAACUGGGGCUAAUACUGGAUAGGAGCUCCUGCUGCAUGGUGGGGGUUGGAACGUUUCGGCGGUUGGGGAUGGACUCGCGGCUUAUCAGCUUGUUGGUGGGGUAGUGGCUUACCAAGGCUUUGACGGGUAGCCGGCCUGAGAGGGUGACCGGCCACAAUGGGACUGAGAGACGGACCAGACUCCUACGGGAGGCAGCAGUGGGGAAUAUUGCACAAUGGGCGGAAGCCUGAUGCAGAAACGCCGCGUGCGGGAUGACGGCCUGCGGGUUGUAAACCGCUUUAGCCUGUGACGAAGCGUGAGUGACGGUAAUGGGUAAAGAAGCACCGGCUAACUACGUG